AGUUUCUUCGGAAAUGAGUAGAGUGGCGCACGGGUGAGUAACGCGUGGAUUAUCUACCUACUGGUACGGGACAACAGUUGGAAACGACUGCUAAUACCGUAUACGCUGGUAACGGGAAAGGGGGCCUCUUCUUGAAAGCUCUCGCCAGUAGAUGAGUCCGCGUUUCAUUAGCUAGACGGUGGGGUAACGGCCUACCGUGGCAACGAUGAAUAGCAGGCCUGAGAGGGUGGCCUGCCACACUGGGACUGGAACACGGCCCAGACUCCUACGGGAGGCAGCAGUGGGGAAUAUUGCGCAAUGGACGAAAGUCUGACGCAGCGACGCCGCGUGGAGGAUGAAGGUUUUCGGAUCGUAAACUCCUGUCAAGAGGGAAGAAACCUAUUAUGAAUAAUACUCAUAGUAAUUGACGGUACCUCUAGAGGAAGCACCGGCUAAUUCAGUGCCAGCAGCCGCGGUAAUACUGAAGGUGCAAGCGUUAAUCGGAAUCACUGGGCGUAAAGCGCUCGUAGGUGGCUUUGUAAGUCAGGUGUGAAAGCCCACGGCUCAACCGUGGAAUUGCACUUGAUACUGCAUCGCUAGAGUAUAGGAGAGGGAAGUGGAAUUUCUGGUGUAGGAGUGAAAUCCGUAGAGAUCAGAAGGAACACCCGUGGCGAAGGCGACUUCCUGGACUAUUACUGACACUGAGGAGCGAAAGCGUGGGGAGCAAACAGGAUUAGAUACCCUGGUAGUCCACGCCGUAAACGAUGGGUACUAGGUGUUGGGGGCUUGACCCUCGGUGCCGUAGUUAACGCGUUAAGUACCCCGCCUGGGGAGUACGGUCGCAAGGCUGAAACUCAAAGAAAUUGACGGGGGCCCGCACAAGCGGUGGAGUAUGUGGUUUAAU
rnacentral:rRNA from 1 species